AGUAUAGAACAGUGGUCGGCAAACCGUGGCUCGCUAGCCACAUGCGGCUCGCCAGCCGUGAUUUGCCGCUCUGUUGACUAAUGA
rnacentral:pre_miRNA from 1 species